rnacentral:rRNA from 1 species
CCUACGGGUGGCAGCAGUGAGGAAUAUUAGUCAAUGGGCGCAAGCCUGAACCAGCCAAGUCGCGUGAGGGAUGACGGUCCUAUGGAUUGUAAACCUCUUUUGUCGGGGAGCAAGGACCGGCACGUGUCGCGGGAAGGAGAGUACCCGAAGAAAAAGCAUCGGCUAACUCCGUGCCAGCAGCCGCGGUAAUACGGGGGAUGCGAGCGUUAUCCGGAUUAAUUGGGUUUAAAGGGUGCGUAGGCGGAAGGUUAAGUCAGCGGUAAAAUGGCGGGGCUCAACACCUGCCUGCCGUUGAAACUGGUCUUCUUGAGUGAGCGAGAAGUAUGCGGAAUGCGUGGUGUAGCGGUGAAAUGCAUAGAUAUCACGCAGAACUCCGAUUGCGAAGGCAGCAUACCGGCGCUCAACUGACGCUGAUGCACGAAAGCGUGGGUAUCGAACAGGAUUAGAUACCCUUGUAGUC